UGCCACGCAAAGUACCCUAGGUUGACA
rnacentral:piRNA from 1 species